UUUUUUUUUUUAUCCUCUCCCGAUUUCUUUUUCUUUUUCUUUUUUAUUUCUGGGCGUGGUGGGGUGUCUUUAUCUGGGGGCAGGAAAAGAGGCGGAGCGGGACACGGCGCGUGGUGAUGAGCUGGAAAUUGUUUUCCAACGGGUGCAAGGAAUUCUUUUUUUUAGUGGACAAAAUAAGGCGUUUGGAUUUGGCUGGGGAUAUGAUAUGGGAGGGAUUUUAUAUUGUGAAGAUGCAAAAUUUUAUAUCUGGAUGGAUUGAUGUGACUAAUCUGGAUGGUUUAAGGAGUAUAUUAGGAUUGGAUUCGGCAAAAAAAAAAAGAAACGAACAGCUGCUGAUGUUGAUAUAUCUGUAUCCCAAAAUAAUUUCAAUUCUUUAUGGAUUAAUUUAUAUGGAACUUGGGAAGAUUGGUCUUGGUUUGAGUUGGUUUCUUGGUCAACUAUAGAUAAAAACCCUUGUUUCAAUUUAGAGAAAAGUUAGGGGCUUUAGGCCUUAGGCCGGGUGGUAAAUUUUGCAUGCCUGGCCUUUCUGGAAAAAAAAAGUAAAUUGUGUUAUUCAUAUAACAUUUGUUAUCUAGUGCCAAUGGUGGAUUAGAUUAUGGUAUGGCUACUCUCUCUUAGUAUAACAUUUGUUAUAUACGAACGUUGGAUUAUGUUAUGAUGAUAUGGUCACUCUACAGAGUAUCUGGUUCUAUAAUCUUUUUGUAAAUUCUUAAGCAAGAUCAUAAACUCUCAAAAUGGAAACCUAAGCUUUUUAAACCUUUACAUGGCGUCCUAAAGUUGACUUCAAGCUGUCUUGGCCGUCAAGUGAUCUUAGUUCCCCUCAAUCCAUUACCGAAACAAGAAAAAAGGUCGGCUCAUCUUUGCCUCCUUAAUAGUUCGAGCAUGAAAAUAGGUUCGGAGGCAAAUAGCAAAUCAUACACACAAAAUGUUAUUUUGCAAGGGUAUGUGUGCUAAAGCAGACAGCUACUUUUCCUUACCACUGGCUUCUUUUCCCAUAAGAUCCCUUGAUCAAUAAGUGUUUUCUUUCCAUAAACUUUUUUUCCUAGAAAAUAUCCACCCGUUAACGAAUUGAGCACAGCUUAGCUAGUAAGGUUUCUUGUGGUGGAACCUGCCCACCAGAGUUAAGUCCUUGACUUGAUACUGGUGCUCGUAUUUAUCUAGAUUUAUUCCAGGAUUGAACCAACACUAAUCAUCGAUAAUUAUAAUUAUAAUAAAUAGGAUUAAAUAGGAUUUUUCUGAUCCGAUUCUGUGGGUGCCGAAUGAGGCCACUUGUAAACCUUUGGCAGAUUCCAAGUCAACUUGGAUGCUGGAUGGAUCUUGUAUAAAGCAUAUAAUGCAAAAUCUUUGUUUCAGAGACCAAGCGGCUCACGCAUGAUCGUGAGAGCCACGCAAUGAUACAUGAGUGGGUGGGUGAUGCCUCAUCGUCCACGGAAGAAAAAAAAGGAAAAAAAAAACAACGCCCGCUGCCUUUGGCUGUCGCUUGACGGCGACGGUCUCUUAUCCGGGAGACGUCCGUCGUGGCGUCUUGUAUUUUGUCUCUGGUCGGAAAUGGCUCUUGCGCCUCCAAGAACCGUCUCCAAUGGCGCGCGCGAGUCACGACUCACGCGACUCACGAGGCAGCGUGUCCGCACGCUGCGCGCGACGUCGGCUAGCUGCCGUGGCGGGGUCGCUUUGCCACGUCGACGUUGGCACGUCGUCGGCUCGUCGUCGUCGCCUUCGGAUAGCGUUCGGCGGGGCUCGGCAGGAGUGGGCAAAAGCAGGAACGGUUGCAACGGUGGGCCAAAAACCCGUAAUACUCAGGCCCAGUAGUCAGUGUACUCGCGGGCCGAGGUCGAAGCCGGCCCACGGGGCGGGCCCCCUCUGCGUCCGCCUGGCCCAGAUCCAGCCUCGGUGGCGGCGCGUCACCUGCGCGCCGUCGGGGUCGGGGGAGACGCGUUAGGCAACCGGCCGCGCCUCCUUUCCCGUUGCUUCGUCCGGAAGCAGGAGGCUGCAGCCCUGGCCAUGCCGGUGCGGUACUGCGGUGUGUCCCUUCCGCUGCCGACACCUCACCGGUUGCCGCCGUCCCCAUGAACUUUAGGAAGCUUCGAGAUGCUUCCCGGGACACGUGGCCGGCCCACGUAGAGCUGCAGCUGCUCGAGCACGUUCUUGGCGCGUCUUCCCAUCCCAUAGACGCGGCAUCGAGCGGCAGCGGCUACGAAAUCAGGGGAAACCCAGGGGGCGUGGCGCGAAAACAGCCACCGGCCCGGUCGGUUCCGCUCCCUCCCCAAAUCCACGCACGCCGGGGUGGUCGACGUCGCCGCGACGCGACGCGACGCUUCCAUCGGUCCCUCCCCACCUCUCUGGCUUUCCACGACACGGGCUCCCUGCUUGGCUGCCCCACCUGCUCUCUGUUUCUUUCCCUUCCCCGCGAGGCUGCGAUCCCACCACCCCCGCGCAUCCAGCGAGCGGCGGUCGGAGAACAUGGGCGGCGAGGACGACGCGGCCGCGGUGCGCGCAGAGGAGUCCGUCUCGGGGGGCGUCGACGUCUGGAGCGACGCCGUCUCCUCCCACGACCCGGACCACCUGCUCGUCAUGGUCCACGGCAUCCUCGGCAGGUAAAUCAAAACGCAUACCACCUCCGCUCUCCGGGGGGCCGGGAUUCGUAGCUGAUUCGAAGCCGCGGCUGCUGGAAUGUGCUGGUUCUGAAAUCGAUUGUCGCGGAUUGGUAGUUUGGUACGGAAUGUGGAGCGGCGGUCGAGCGAGGGGUCCCCUUCGCCGCCGCGCCUCAGCUCACGGUUCGCAAAAUGGGGAAUUUUGUCGUCGGCGGAGGCCGUCUUAGAGCUGGAAGCCGGGGGGCAUGUGCGGUCCGGUUGCGCAGCUGGUGAUUGCACAUACUCUCUGAGCAUUGCGUGUUUUUGCUGUGCUUUGGCGGUAAAACCAGAUGGUACAUUUUGCAUUUCGGUGGAAUUUGUUCUAGAGCCUGCGGUUGGGGGCAGCGGCCUGCCGAUACGACAUUGGGUCUGGUCUAGCGUGCUGCCUUUUUGGCUUGUGGUAGCGUCUACGAAAUUGGACUACUGGCUCACGUUAGCGUUAAGGCCAGCUGACAGCUAUCUUUCCUGCUCCACUUGAGAGAACCAUUUGAUUAGUAGGAAAUGGAAAUGACUACGGCCUCUGCAUAAGUAUCGGCCUGUUUCGUUACAAGUUUUUUCAGCCAUCCAGCUGAGCAAAUAAACGGGGAACAGCUGAUACAGAUAUGAGUAAAAAUAAAGGGAAAGAACCAUUUUUUGAUACAAAAGCAGUUUGCUUUUCUUAAGCUAGGCAUUUAGACUUUAGCGUAUUCUGCUAAUAUAUUAGCAAAAUGUUCACAAUCCUUCCUUCAGUAUUCAAGCUGCUAUGAUGAAUAAAAAGAUUAAUGACCCACUGUUACAAUGAAUAGAUAGCUGCGCUAAGCAUCUAAUUUAAUUGCUCCAAACCUGAAAUUUCCCAUGCAGUAUAGGCAGGGUCAAAGAUUCCUCUACAAGGCACAAAGUAGGGGACUAUUGUUUGUCAUUGGUUACAUAUCCAAGCAUAUGCAAAGCUGCAAGUGUUUUGGUUAGGGUAUCUGGUUGUUCUCUGCAGCUGAGAGACUGAUCUUUCUCAUUUAUAUAUGGUGCUCAUGUGCAGUGAGCAUGUUUAUAAUUACAUUUCCCUGAACUUAUGAACCCCAUCCCUUAUUUUUCUUUUGUAUUUUCAUUCACUUGGCUCUUUUUCUUUGAACAGUACUGCUGAUUGGCAAUAUGCUGCUAAUGAGUUUGUAAAGCAACUCCCUGACGAUGUAAUCGUGCACUGUAAGUUGCGUCACUUUGUACUAUCUGUUGCCAAGUUUAGUUUCUGUUGCAUUUAAUUUUUGCUUCAAUUUCUUAUUUCCAUAAUUAUGCUCUUUCCUUGUUUUAUUUGGAAACAGAUUUUUCUGUGAAAUUAGCAAAUAUGAUAUGUUGCGUUGUGCAGAUGAAUAAGCUGACCUAGGUGAUUUGGCAUUUAGAGUAACAAUGACAGUGACACAAAUUGCUGUGAACAUUUUGGCUUUAGUGUUAAGAUCAAAUUAAUGUGAUUGAUCGGCCAAUGAGAAUGAUUCUUUUUUCUUUACUGCGGAGCUGACACAAUUGCAUAUCUUUUAGCUUUGUUCCAUUCUUAACUGUGGGCAAGAACUUGUUGGUCAGAUCUGCAUGCAGCUUUGCUGCAUCUGGGUAGGCCUAGUUUGGAACAUUUUUUCAUCAUAAAGCAAAUUCAUUGAUUUAGAACAAGGAUUUUUUGGGAAAUGUAGCCUAUAAAAGAACUCAAUUUUACUACUGUGAGCUUAUAUUUGUGAAUGUUUCACCUCAUAUAUGCUCAUCUCUAUGUUAGAGUACCUAUAAAAGAACUAACUACUCUCAUUGAUGCUCGCUAUUUGUGAAGAGUUUAUCCAAAAACUUUGAGUAUUUCUAUGUGAUUAACAUAGCGUAAUGCAAAUUGCUCCCUUUCUGAAUAUGUAACUUGAAGGAAGCUGUAAUAUUGGUUAGACCCCUUAUCCUGCUUGUCUAGCUUGCGAUGUACAGACUUAUUUGUUCCAUUUUGCAGGUAGUGAGAAAAAUUCAUCAAUGUUAACUCUAGAUGGAGUUGACGUCAUGGGGGAACGCUUAGCAGAUGAGGUAAAUAUUGCAGGCAGCUAAUGGGUUGAUAAUAAAAAAUACUAAGAAGCUAGUUGUUGCUUCAUAGUAUUUUUUUUAUUAAAAUUUUAUUCUGCCUCAAAUUGUUAUCUGGUACAAUCCCUAUUGUCUGAAAACAAACACACAUGUUUAGAUGCUCACUUGCGUUCUCCUCUUACUCAGGUGCUUGAUGUUGUUAGUCGAAGGCCAGAACUCACCAAAAUUUCUUUUCUUGCACACUCCGUUGGAGGAUUAGCUGCAAGAUAUGCAAUUGCAAAACUUUAUCGACAUCCAGAUGGUGUGUCUGAUGGAAAUGCUAAAGGAACCAUCUGUGGAUUGGAAGCAAUUAACUUUAUUACUGUAGCAACGCCUCACCUUGGUUCACGAGGAAAUAAACAGGUUCUGCUUUUGACUGACUCUUUUACGGUGAUCUACAUAUCUCUAGACUCUUAUUUGUUUUACCACGAAGAUGAUACCUGAAAGCUGAUAUUGUAUCCAUCUUCAGAACAACUGAGGAAUCAUUUGCUCAUGUCCUCUAUAAUUCCAAUUUUCUGCAAAGAAAAGUUGGGUGUUUCUUUUAAUGCUCCAUACAUCAAGAGUCGGACUAGAAGCUAGAAUAUAUGUAGAAAGAGUAGAUGCUAGCCUAUUUCUUUCACUGUCAUCAGAGCUUUCCAAGCAUAGGGAAGGGCCACACAGAGAUGGCUAAAACCCUCCAAACCUUUCGUUGAAGAGAAAAAAAAACAUCCUUUUCUUUUACUGGAAAAACUCACACAGCUGUUGCCAGGCUUCUUGGCUUUUACGCUUACAACCACUAAAAACUAAAAGGUUCCAAAAUGUCACUGUUUUCUCCCUACCUUGCUUGGAGUAAUCUUACCCAAUCAUGUACCUGGAAAUCUCAUCAGAAUUUCGUUUGGCAUACAAAUCUUUCGGUCCUGCUCCAGUUUGUAUGCAAAUUACAAUAAGCCAUUGGCACAACUCAUCUCCACUUUUCAUUUGAUGUGAACUUCCUCACCAUUGCAAAUUAGGUCCCCCUCCUGUUUGGAUCCCUUGCGAUGGAAAAGGUUGCUUGCCGGGUCGUCCAUUGGAUAUUUAGGAGAACUGGCAAACAUCUCUUUCUAACUGACGAUGACGAAGGGCAACCACCACUGCUGCAGCGUAUGGUUGAAGAUCAUGGCGAUCUCUACUUUAUGUAAGGUUUAUCUUGCUCAUCUGUUUUGCAUUUUUGUUCUAUUUCUAGUCCCAAUAAUAUAUUGUUUAAUUUUGCCUUGCCUAUUCUGUGAUAAUUAUACUAAUAAUGUUCUACCUGCACCUUUUACAGAUCUGCUUUGCGAGCAUUUAAGAGACGUGUGGUGUACGCAAAUGCUGACUGUGAUCGUAUCCUUAGUAUUUGCUAUAUUUACAAUUUUCUUUGUGGUGUUUAUACUAUUUGUUUUAUUUUUGUAUGCUUUUGGCUAGGCUCUUCUUUAAUGCAUGAAAUCAGAUAUUGUUGGCUGGAGAACAUCAUCUAUUAGAAGAAACACUGAGCUUCCUGAGGUAUUUUACUGACUUCAUAGCUCUGGGUACUGUCUAGGAAGGACUAUGUAGUUUUCUAUAGCACCAUUCUCAUAUGGAAAUGCUUCUUUUACUUCUGAUCUGCAGUUGGCAGUAUCGUCAUCUGAGAAGUACCCCCACAUUGUACAUGAGGAGUACUCAGAAGAAAUUGAUGAUGAGAAGUGCCAAGAUUCCAUGACAGACUGUAAUUUGGACAUUCUUGAAGGUAAUUUUCUUGAGUUGCAUGCAGAAUACUAUUUUCCUUUUUUUUUCCUGUUACAAUUAAAUGAUGCUUCAGUGCUAUGUGGAAAAUAUGAUAUUGUUUCGUUAUCUUUAAAUGUGGAUUGCCUUAAUAUAGGUUUUAAAAAAAUAAACUUACCAGAUUAGUCUUGUGAACAGUGAGGCAGUGAGCCACUGUGUCAUGACAUUUGUAUUAGUGUGGCAAAGGUACUGGCUUUUGUGUCUUGCCACCAGGUUAUAAGUAUUUUCAUUUUCAAUUGGAUAAUGAUGUGGCAUCUAAACUGUUGUCAUGGUUUUGCUAAUUUAUCCCCAUACCAUAAUGAGCCUGUCCUGAACACCAUAUGUACUGUGGGACAUUUCACAUGGUGGCAGGCGUGCUGCAUAUGGAAAUCCCUUGAUUCAUGAGCAACGAGGGUAGGGCGUUGAUAUUAAAUCCUAGGGUAGUUGAUCUGUUUUGAAGUUCCAGACUGAAGGAGCACCUAAAUUGGACGACUAGAGGACUAUGUCUAUUUGUCAUACGUGUGGAAGAAUUUACAUAUUAUACAUUGACUGUGACCAUGAGGCUUACUUUUAUUAUUAAAGUGCAUAUCUCAUAGUUGCGAGACAUGGAAAUGUUGUCUGAAAUCUGUUAGUUCAUGGAAGCUGCCUUUGUUGUCUUCUUAAUGCUGUUAGCUCAAAUUGUUUUUAUGUGCAAGUCCUCUGUGACCCUUUAGAAAGCAUAGUGAUGACUUGUUAUGAUUCCAUUGUUUCACAUAGGUAAGUAACAAGAUUCAUCAUAGCUUUAGAUACAGCAACCCGUGUUUUCUGACUGCAUCAUCGUUUUUAUUUGAUAUCAUGUGCUAUUGACUUCUGAAUGUAAAAGCAAGAACCCUGGAUGUUAGUCAUAGAUAAUUAGCAAGAAGGUCUCUGGUUUCAAAACAAGUAGUUUCAUGACCCAAAUUCAACAUUUGACUGGAUGACCGCAAUCCUGGUGUUGCAUUGUAAAGGCCAUAUUGGUCCUAUAUUUCUCACCAUGUUACUGCUUGCUCACUAUAUAACAUUGGACCUGGAACCUAAAGACUGAUUUUUUUGGACCCUUUGUUUGUGUGAUAGACAGUUAUCUUUUGUUAUCUAGUAUUGCAUUGAAAUGCUUUUGGUGCGCUUCUAUGUUUAUUCUAGUUGUAGGCAGUAAGCUAGAGGAGUCAUGACUUCUAUGGCACGAAACAGUUACAUAACAAGAAUAUGUAAUGUAAUAAAAAAAAAAGUCUACCGCAAAUUAAAGAUGAACCAACAGAACACGGUGUGUAUGCAGCUUAGAAGCAUGGUUAUAUGUUGUUGUUGUUCUGAAGCUUAGCUGCUUAGGAGGAUUCGUGGAGCUGACACCUUAGCGAAGUCCAGUUCAUUUGUCUGAAAAUUCUGCACAUGCAUUUUGUUGAAGCGAUUGGAAUUGUAGUGUCGUGGAUCUAACAGUAUCUCCUGACUCUCAUCCUGCAGAAAAGAUGGUGACGGGUCUCCGAAGAGUUUCGUGGGAGAAGGUGGAUGUCAGCUUCCAGUCGAGCAUAACGAGCUUCGCAGCGCACAGCAUUAUCCAGGUUUCCACAAUCGGCUUCGCUCCCUUCACUAUCUUCCUUCAUGUACUAAUAUGCAAUAAUCCUGCGGUGCAACCCUGUGAAAUCAUCAAAACCUUCCCUCCUCUUGUUGUUACGUCAGGUGAAGUACGCGUUCAUGAACGAUGGAGCGGACGUGAUACAGCACAUCAUAGAUCACUUCCAGCUCUGAGAAUGUCCCCCCUGGCGGUGGUAGGAGAGAAGGUUUUUUUUCCUUGUUGACACUCGGCACGUACGUUCGCUUGGCGUGCUGAUCCAGUAGCUAGCAGCCGCACGGCAAAAUACGGAGCUGCCGAGUGCAGAUGCUGCUGAGCUCAUGGUAGUACGAGGGGGUGUUUGAUCCCGGGCUAAACUUUAACCCCUGUCACAUCGAAUGUUUGACACUAAUUAGGUGUAUUAAACAUAGGCUAACUACAAAAUCAAUUUCAUGACCCCUAGGCUAAAUCGUGAGACGAAUCUAUUAAGUCUAAUUAGUCCAUGAUUUGACAAUAUGGUGCUAUAGUAAACAUUCGCUAAUGAUGGAUUAAUUAGGUUUAAUAGAUUCGUCUCGCGAUUUAGCCUAGAGGUUCUACAAUUAGUUUUGUAAUUAGCUCAUGUUUAGUCCUUAUAAUUAGCAUCCGAAUAUCUGAUGUGACACGGAUUAAACUUUAGCUUCAGGAUCCAAACACCCCAUUAGAUUUCAGCAGAUGCUUUGUCCUUGUGUCACGUGACAAUGUGUUGAGACUGUACAUGAGAGCAGUUCCACAGAAGGGAGGAGAGAGAAAUAGAGAGAGAACAUUAAUGUUGUACAUGUAUGAUACAUUUGUGCAAGAGGAAAUCGAAACCGUCCGUCCGUUGAUGCCUGUAGUGUUUCCCCAAACUCUUGCAAUCCGAAGGAGGAGAAAAGGAAAUGGUUCCACUUUGCCGAGCCUACACGUGGAAUGAUUACCGCUCCGGUAACUGGUGCGUGCACCGGCCAUUGCUGGAAUUCGCCGGACCGGAUCGGAGCGGAGGUUCCGCAUGCGCGAUCCGUUCACAACACAAAAGGCGGUCUGAGCAGGAAGCUCGGGUGCUCUGAAACGGCUGGAAAGGACAGUAGACUACUGACCCAGAACAAGAACGCACUAGCGCCGACAUGCCCGCACUCCUCUGUGGACGCGCACGCACGUACGUACGCGACAAUACUGGAGACCGUCGGCGGCGGACCAGCCGGAGCCGACGGAGCAGCCGCGCAGUACGGCCCGUGCAUCGAGGGCACGAGACCGUCACGUCCAGCGCUCCUACGGUGUGUCGCGUUCCCCCAACACGCGGCACAUUGAAAUACUCGCCGGUGCGUUCCUGCUUGGCUGUGAGAGCUCCGCGUUCACAAACAACAGCUGCGGGGCCGACGACGACGACGCGGCCGACGCUAGCUGGGGGUUGGGCAGCGGCAGGGCAGGUGCUUCCUAAUCCUACGCGUCGCGUGCGCGCGCGGGCCGCGGAGGACGGAGGGUGUGUACGUGCGCCGCGCCGCCGGAGAUCCGAUCCCGAUGCUAGCUGCCGUUGGUGCCGGUCAAGUCAAGCGGAAUACAAGUACAAGGGCCGCCGGGGCUCUCCUCGUCGUUGACAACCGAUGAUCGUACGUGCAGGCGCCGACAACUUGGGGCGACUUUUGGCGAGUCCCUACUCUCUUUUCCAUGCAUCAACCCGACCGAACAAAGUCUCUGGAACUGGUAGGCUGCUAGCUGCUUUCCCCAAUUGAUCUCUGCGGAGCAGCCAUGCCAAAUUGUCAACUACUGUAUAUUUCUCUUGUGCGCGUUUAAGUGUAGGACGAUCGUUGUUGUACCAAAGUGUGUGUAAUUACUCUGCUUACAAAGUGCGCCGCUCCUCCCUCUUUGCAAAGUGCAUGUACUGCAAAGUAAUUCCAAUAGUUUUCUAAAAAAUUCUUCCCAAAACUAUAUAUUGGAGGCUCUUUCAAAUUUUUUUUCCAAAAAACAUAUCAACCCACAGCAGAUCGCUCAUAACUAACCCCUAAUAUUUCAAAACAGACCGUAACAUCAUAAUUAGACCUAUUGGACUGCUCACCUCCCCCUCAUGCAUGCACCCCCCUCACGAUCUCCAGAGCACCCUCAUCCUUCUUGUCCACCUGUUCUUCAUCCUCACUGCUUGAGGAAGCCUCACUCGACUCCUCUUCACUACUCUCCGACUCUUCCUCGUUGCUUUCCUGCUUCACCUUGCCGCCUGACACCGCGGUAUUCAUCUCAACAUCAGCAGGGGCGGCAGCCAUCUCCAUAGCAACCGACAUCCUCUUUCACAGUCAAAUCACCAAAUCCCUAACACCAUCUCAGCCUUCUCUCCGAUUUCGCCGCUGCAAAAAUCCCCGGCCUGGCAGAGCGACUCGUCCACUUGGACGGGCUCCGCCUUCACACCAAACUCGCAGGAAUUGUGCGCCGCCGAACCAUCCGAGACCUCUCCAAUGCUGUCGGCGCAAGCUGUCGUCGUCGGCGCCGGCACGUGAGGAGCCGCCUCCUCCUCGGUACAUCCGAGGCCCUUGGCUAGGCUCCCAGCUCGCCCGACAUGGCCGGGUCGAAGUCCACGAGCCACCCCUCGACGGGGUCGAAGCCGACGCAUGUUGGAGUCCCGGCAAAUCUCGCGGGAAGAGACUCUCGCGCGCGGGGAGGGAGCAAUUGGGGAGUUGGUUGCUUCGAAAAUAUGUGCGGCGACCGGACUCUGUUUUGGCGUCGCAAAUAGUCCAAAGAAGUUUUUGGAGCUGUUGGAGUUUUUUUCUCCCUAAACGAGAUAUUAGGAGUAGGAUACAGAUUUGUUGGAGUUUUUUUUUCUCCCUAAACGAGAUAUUAGGAGUAGGAUACAGAUUUUUUUUGAGUUGCUCUUAGAUUCGUUCCAAACCAAACUUCUCCAACUUGAACCCAAUCAAUAUGGGGAAGGAAAAAAAUGACACUAAUAUUUCCAACACCCAAUUAACGUAUCCCUUCGAUGGAGUACCUUUUGUUUUUUUUAAAAAAACUUAAAGCGAAUUACUGUGCGAUUACUGUGGUUGCUCCAUCGUAAACGCCAUACGGAUACCAUACGUUACGGAAGCGCGCGCGACGACCAUGACGACGACUAGUCACGCCAGGUCGAGCCGGCGGCUCAGCACAGCGCCAUCUUAACCACCGGCCGGUAGUCCUUGUCUUCCUUCGGGCAACAGCAAAUGCAAACGCAUCACUGCCGGGCGGGCCCGUGACCCGGAGAGGGACGUGUCCUCCCGCCCUGCACAGCGACGUUGAUUCUUCCGUCCGUCGGCGCAGCUAGCGCAACCAGUGGUACCGGCCGGACGGACGAUUUCCAAGCUCCUUCCAACCCCCCCGGAUCGGACCCCGGCUGAUCGUCCGUGGCCACAUGCGCAGAGGGAGGCGUACGCCCGUCGCCCUUGCACUGCACUGGGGGUCAGGAUGAUAUGAUCAAUCCCCCUGCGAGCAUUGGCUAGCUGCUGAACUCCCGGCCCGGAAGGCAACACCUCGGUCAGUCGCCGUGUCCCGGUAGCCCGGGAGCCGACCCGGUCUCUUCCUUUCAGCCGGGGUGGUAGCGAAAUAAAGCUACUACCUCACUCCAUCUUUCCCCGGACUAAUUAAGAGGGACAGCAAUGUUUUGGGAUAACGAAGGUGUAACCGGCUUUUUGCAUUAACUAGCGAUGCGCAUAGGCAUGGACAGAGGAUUGAUGUACCCAGUGGCGGAGGCAGGAUUUUCACCCUAGGCAUUUAUUGUAGAAAGACAGUGGUAUCGGGAUAGUAAUUGUUGGACCUCUAUGCAUAGUAUAUGAAUACUAGAAGUAUAUAUAUGCUAAACAUUUUAUCCAAAGUUAGGGGUAUUCACGUGAAUGGAUGUACCCUUCUAGUAGAUUAAUUUUUACACAGAUUACUGAUCUUAAGAAAUGAUCCGGUGCAUAUAGAUAGGGACCGUUCUUGUAGAAUACAAAACCACCAUCUUCUCUCCUCUUCCACCCGCGAUUCACGUUACAACUACGAAGGGCGUGCUUCUUUUUAACGACGGUAUUAUGCUUGGAACAUAUUUCCUCUUUUUCCAAACGAACAAUGUAUUUCAUUUUGUUAGGAUAGGACUUUGACCCACGGUUACUCGACUAGCGUAUUGUUUAUGUGAUGCGAAACCAUAAUUAUAUGCAGGGGAGGACCUAUAUUACUCUGUUUGGAACAUGUUUCCUUUGUUUCAAACUGUAUAAUGUAUUUCCUUUUGUUAGCCCACGAUUACUUUGAUUAACAUAUUAUUUAUGUGAUAUGAAUUAUAUGUAACAUUGUAAUAACAUUAAGUUUUUAAGCAACAUUAUAUAUGGGUUGAGUAAUUAUUGAUUACAACUAUGUUUAACGAUUCCACUUAUCAAUUCAAACAAAGGAGGGUACUACGUAACAUCACACACUUUCCAACAGGUGUGGGCCUAUCCUACAAGUCUAGAACCUAGCUAUAUUUUCCGCUUAUAUUGGAUAUAUGCUUCUUUCCGUGGGGAUCAUCGAGAUUGUCCCCAUAAUUGAUGGCUAGGGUGGUUGUCCCCUAAAAGACUAGGGCUAUUUGAGGGAUACAGAUGCAUUAUUGGCAUAGAGACAAUCAGAGAUAAUGCAACAAUACCACUAUGUUUUCUUUGCCUCCAUAUUUUUUAAUUAAAUUGUUGAUAUUGUGUGAAUUGCAUAAUCUUUUUUCUUUAGAACAAAGAAGAUGCUUUGAGAUAUCUAAAAUACCAAUCUCUCCGUCGAAACACUGAAAGGAUUCUUUUUUAAAUUCAGUAGGAAACAAAUUGAUCUAUGUGAAAUUCUUGUGAAAAUUCCAGCUGGUAGAACCAGGCCAAAUGGUGCUACAUCUACAAAGGGCAACCUGUUCCACCAUGUAGUAAGAACACAACAGGUGAUGUAACACUAUAUGCAGUAACCAAUUAAUCAGUUAAUCUCUCUUCGUCUAUACAAUGUUUUCAUUUACCUACCAAUUCAUUGUUUGGUAUAUCCACCAACCAACAACAAGACGUCGUACUUUGUACUUGGUAAAAGUCGCGAGCGACCAAAUGUACCAAAAAAUAAGUUAAAAAAUUCCCCAGCAAGUCAACCCCCAUUAUCUGUUGACCAAACAAUUCUCUUGCCGCCGCCGACGUUUGCGAGUCCAGACGAGCUCUCAAUCGCGUGAUUCGCGUCGCCGUUGCGGCCG
rnacentral:lncRNA from 1 species